GUCUGCAGGGUGACAACCUGGGCUGCUUGGGCGGGGACGUGUAUGCCACCCCCCAUAAACCUCAUCUCUGCUCACCCCACAGCUUCCAGAAAAAGAUCUCGGACUCUGGGAGAGCUCUCAAAGACAGGAAGCUCCUUCGCCAGAGGAUCCACUCCUUGCCGCAGUGGCAGCUGGAAGGCAGCCCGGUCCUGAAGGACAUCACCCAGCUCCAGGAGCGCAGGGACAGAGGGCGGCGGCGCCAGAGGGAUCCCAGGGAUGAGGAGGGCUUUGUCGCCAAGAAGCUGCAGAGGCUGGGCCAGCGGAGCCAGCUGCUCACCGGCCAUGGGGCUGCCAGGAGGGACUCCCUUGCCAAAAGCCCCUGCAGUGCACCAGAGCUGCUGGUGAGAGAGGCUGGGAAGCUUGGGAGGGCACCAAGGAUGGGUGAUCCUGGGGCUGAAUACAUGGGAGCUGCCGCUCCAACCUCCCUCAGUGCCCUGGAG
rnacentral:lncRNA from 1 species